AAAGCUGUGCUAAUACCGCAUGAGAUCUACGGAUGAAAGCAGGGGACCUUCGGGCCUUGCGCGAAUGGAGCGGCCGAUGGCAGAUUAGGUAGUUGGUGGGGUAAAGGCCUACCAAGCCUGCGAUCUGUAGCUGGUCUGAGAGGACGACCAGCCACACUGGGACUGAGACACGGCCCAGACUCCUACGGGAGGCAGCAGUGGGGAAUUUUGGACAAUGGGCGCAAGCCUGAUCCAGCCAUGCCGCGUGCAGGAUGAAGGCCUUCGGGUUGUAAACUGCUUUUGUACGGAACGAAAAGGCUCUUUCUAAUAAAGAGGGCUCAUGACGGUACCGUAAGAAUAAGCACCGGCUAACUACGUGCCAGCAGCCGCGGUAAUACGUAGGGUGCGAGCGUUAAUCGGAAUUACUGGGCGUAAAGCGUGCGCAGGCGGUGAUGUAAGACAGUU
rnacentral:rRNA from 1 species